rnacentral:rRNA from 1 species
UUACGGCCAUACCAUGAUGAAUAAACCGGUUCUCGUUAGAUCACCGAAGUCAAACAUCAUUGGGCGCGGUCAGUACUUGGGUGGGUGACCACUUGGGUGCACCGCGUGCCGUU